AUUCAUGCCAAUUAACGGUAGUGACUUGUAGGGUUUUGUAUAAAUAUCGUCGUGGUCGGCGACUUGUAGGGUUUUAUGCCUCACUAGUCGCCGCCGCUGGGGAGUGACACAAGUGGGAAAUCGGGGGAGGGAUCGCGCAAUGGCGUCGGAGAAGAAAUUGUCCAACCCGAUGCGGGAGAUCAAGGUCCAGAAGGUGGUCCUUAACAUAUCUGUAGGAGAAAGCGACGAUCGCCUUACCCGUGCGGCGAAGGUGUUGGAACAAUUGAAUAUAUAUUCUGCAACAGGUUCAUAUUUUUUGUUGUCUUGUUGCUUUGCAGAUCUUGAGAAAAUUUUCUGUACUAUAUAGCCAGGUAUACUGUUCGGUCCUUUGGGAUUCGACGCAAUGAAAAGAUUGCUUGUUAUGUGACCGUUAGAGGGGACAAGGCCAUGCAACUCCUAGAGAGUGGCUUGAAAGUGAGAGUACGAGUUAUUGAGGAGGAACUUCAGUGAAACAGGAUUCUUUGGCUUUGGAAUUCAAGAGCACAUCGAUCUUGGAAUCAAGUAUGACACUGAAUAUUCAUUUCGGGAUCGAUAGAUAGUAAUUUUUAUUUUGUUAAAUAAUUUUAUUAUUUUAUUUCUUUCCACUAAGUUGCCUACUUUUAUAUUUUCAUCAGGACAUGUUCCUCGAGAUAUUAUGUUAGUUGCAACUAUUUACUUAAGAACUGUAUGCUCUUAUACAUCCUUGUGCCGCGCCUUGUCCAGAGGCAUAAUUAUUGGAGAACUGUGAUCAAGGGUUGUGAUGAGAAUUGCUUCUUUCUGACACCUCUUGUUUGAGAGGGGUUACUUCAAGUUGGCCCUUCUUUGAGCAGAGUAGCAAAUAUCUGAACCCUUGUUGGAUUGAUGCUUGUGUAAUCAAUUCUAUGUUUGGUGCAAUUCAGAAUGCUUUUUAACCCUUUUUUAGUAAAUCAGAAUGCUCUCCGGUUUCAGUGGUUUGCAGUGGGCAGGGCUAUGAUGAGUAAACUUUCUUCUGAUACCACUUGUUUGAGAAGCGGUUUCUUGAGCACCCUUCUGUGACAAGAUUUAGCAAUGAGUUGAGCCCUACCGUGUUGACAAUCUCGUGGUUUCACCGGCGCUAGUAUUAUUCUUUGUGCACUCUUCUUCCACCUGAAGCUAUUUUGCAUUCUGAAACCUUUUGUCACCUAAUGAUUUGCAGUCAAUGACUUUGACAGGUAUAAUCCUUCAACAGGUAUAUAUGGGAUGGACUUCUAUGUGAUGUUGGAGCGAGCUGGUUAGUGGCGUCGCUGCAAGUCAAGUCUCGUGUUGGGAUUCAACACUGGGUCACAAAGGAAGAUGCCAAGAAGUGGUUCCAAGUCAAGUACUAGGGUGUCAUGCAUAAUAAAUCCCAAGCAAAUACUGCAUCAUAGAUGGUAUUUUCCAGUUCACCGUAUCUUACGGUGCGUUCUCUCUACUCGAUAUUGUUUGUUACUAUUAUUAACUAGUUCACCACGGUAUCUGAUGGUGUUGAAUGGUAA